UACGGAGGGUGCAAGCGUUAAUCGGAAUUACUGGGCGUAAAGCGCGCGUAGGUGGCUUGAUAAGCCGGUUGUGAAAGCCCCGGGCUCAACCUGGGAACGGCAUCCGGAACUGUCAAGCUAGAGUGCAGGAGAGGAAGGUAGAAUUCCCGGUGUAGCGGUGAAAUGCGUAGAGAUCGGGAGGAAUACCAGUGGCGAAGGCGGCCUUCUGUACUGACACUGACACUGAGGUGCGAAAGCGUGGGUAGCAAACAGG
rnacentral:rRNA from 1 species